rnacentral:rRNA from 1 species
UACGUAGGGUGCGAGCGUUGUCCGGAUUUACUGGGCGUAAAGAGCGCGCAGGCGGUCGUUCAAGUCGCGUGUGAAAGCCCCCGGCUCAACUGGGGAGGGUCACGCGAUACUGAUCGACUCGAAGGCAGGAGAGGGUAGUGGAAUUCCCGGUGUAGUGGUGAAAUGCGUAGAUAUCGGGAGGAACACCAGUGGCGAAGGCGACUACCUGGCCUGUUUCUUGACGCUGAGGCGCGAAAGCUAGGGAGCAAACGGG